UCUCAGGCACCAUUCGUUUAAAUCUGGAGUAACUCCGGUGCAGGCAACAGAGUUACUCCAAAUUUACACUUCUGUAAUUGGUCAGAAUUUGGCCCUUCCUCACACCAAAAUAUGUAAUUAUAAUUGGGAAUCAAUAGACAUGGCUUCAUCCUUCUCUCACACUGGUUAAAUGAGGAGUAACUCCAACAAAGUCAAUAGAAAUGUAUUGGUGUAAAAUUGAUGGAGAGGAGAGGAGACUCAGACCCAGAAGAGUCAAACGGAGAGAUAUGGUGACAGUUCAUCUGAUGUCAGGAGUUUAAGAUGUUGAAUGAGGAGACAGACACCAACACAUGGAGAAACACAUCUAUGGUAUACAUGCAUCUCAAUCGUCAUUUGGUAGGAAGGUUGGAAAAUACUCAAGAAGAAGCCAUUGGCUGUCUCCCACCAGACAGAGGGUAAAAAGAGGCUGCCAUACUCAUUACAAUCCCUACUGAAGAAAGGAGCCACUGCCUCUGAAGUACCAGUGAGUCACAGUAGAUGGCAUUCUAGGGCAUGGACUUCCCAAAAUGCAUUUUAAUAAAAUGUUGCCAUGGUCUUCAGAAAAGGAAGGAGGA